GGAGAGAUCGCAUAGUGGCCGAGUGCGUUCGCUUGGAAAGCGGAUAUACGCGCAAGCGUAUCGUGGGUUCGAAUCCCACUCUCUCCG
rnacentral:tRNA from 1 species